UAAUUGAGAGUUUGAUCCUGGCUCAGGAUAAACGCUGGCGGCGUGCAUAACACAUGCAAGUCGAACGAUGAAACUUAGCUGAUUUCUUCGGAAUGAAAUUAAGUGGAUUAGUGGCGAACGGGUGAGUAACACGUGAGUAACCUGCCUUACACAAGGGGAUAGCCUUUGGAAACGAAGAAUAAUACCCUAUGACGUCAAAAUAUCGCAUGAUAUAGUGACCAAAGAUUUAUCGGUGUAAGAUGGACUU
rnacentral:rRNA from 1 species